rnacentral:rRNA from 1 species
UACGUAGGGUGCGAGCGUUAAUCGGAAUUACUGGGCGUAAAGCGUGCGCAGGCGGUGAUGUAAGACAGGUGUGAAAUCCCCGGGCUCAACCUGGGAAUUGCAUUCGAGACUGCAUAGCUAGGGUGCGGAAGAGGGAAGCGGAAUUUCCGGUGUAGCGGUGAAAUGCGUAGAUAUCGGAAGGAACACCAGUGGCGAAAGCGGCUUCCUGGUCCAGCACCGACGUUCAGGCACGAAAGCGUGGGGAGCAAACAGG